GUGGGGAAUAUUGGACAAUGGGCGCAAGCCUGAUCCAGCAACGCCGCGUGGAGGAUGAAGGUCUUCGGAUCGUAAACUCCUGUCAGAUGGGACGAAGACUUGAAGGCAAAUAGUUUUCAAGUUUGACGGUACCAUCAGAGGAAGCCCCGGCUAACUCCGUGCCAGCAGCCGCGGUAAUACGGAGGGGGCGAGCGUUAUUCGGAAUUAUUGGGCGUAAAGGGCGCGUAGGCGGCCCGGUAAGUCAAAGGUGAAAUCCCUCGGCUCAACUGAGGAACUGCCUUUGAAACUGUCGGGCUUGAGGCCGGGAGAGGGUAGUGGAAUUCCCAGUGUAGCGGUGAAAUGCGUAGAUAUUGGGAGGAACACCAGUGGCGAAGGCGGCUACCUGGACCGGUUCUGACGCUGAGGCGCGAAAGCGUGGGUAGCAAACAGGAUUAGAUACCCUUGUAGUCC
rnacentral:rRNA from 1 species